GUGGUUUCUAAGUGGAUGAUAAUGCAUUUUCAGUAAAUUCUAGUUACCUCAUAGAGAGAGUUGGAAGACCAGUAUUAAAAUAGUGAGUUAUUAAUGAAUUGGAUAUGUUAAAUGCAUUGUGACAGCCAGCAAUAAAAGUAAAUUACUUAUUUUAUAUAGAGAACAUGUUGUAACAGCCUCCUCCUCCAGUUAAGAAAUAGAAAUCCAUUAAACUCCUUGGUCGAUUGGAUCUCAGUACUCAGUACUCCUGUACUGAGAUACUCUCAUAUCUAAUGAAGAGUAACUGGAAAAUGCAGCAGAAAUGUAAAAAUAUUUUUAAUACAAUCCUAUUAGUUUCUUAAAAUGGUUUUGUAGACAUGCAAAUUCUUAAAGCAUUAUUUAAGAGCUUCAAGCAUGCCUAUAAUUAAGAGAUUAGUAGUUCUUUCAUAGCAACGAGGUACAAAAAGACCCCUGAGCUACAACUGUAAUGCAGAUGCUGUAAUGAAACCAGAAAACAAUGAGUGAAGCAGGGGAGGGACUGCCUGAGAGCCACAUUCAGUAAGGGCUUUUGAAAUUUAAAAAAAAAAUAAAUUGUGCUUCAUAACCAUUAGAAUAAAGACUCAGAAAAUAGUGUAGGAGUGAGAAGGAAAGCGGUGGAGAAGAACAGUGAGAAACAGGGAGCCCACAAGCUGACUGCCAUGUUUUACAUGAAGUAAAACUGUAAUUUGGAGCUGAAUGAUGACAGGACACUUUUGCUUGGAGUAAUUGUUGCAUAUCCUGAAGAGAAGCAGAGGCUCAAAGACUUCCAGUUUAUUAGGUCACAAUAUGAUCCAUAUCCACACUGUAACUUCAGUGGAACAGAGGCUUUGAUUCCCUUUCAAGAAAGAGAAACAGAUUUCAUAUCAGGACCAGAUGUAACACCAGUAUCUUGGCAAACUUUGUGGAAUGAAAAUCUUAACCAAGGAGUACUGGUCUAGUCCUGACGUGCCAGCUUCUGAACACAGGUCAGAGAGCUCCAAGAGUCUCUCCUCCAUGAAAACACUUGUUUUGGGAGCUGCCCAUGAGAUGAGAGGUGCUCAUUUAGGCAAACCAUCUUGAUUAUUGAUAAGUGUUAUCCAGAACUUCCAUGGCAUGUUUAAGGGCUUGGAAGCAGGGCUGGAGACUUGAAGAAAAAAUGUAACUCUGUCUAACAAUGACUGAUUGUGUUGAUAUAAUUUAUGGUGUGUGACCUUGCUGGUAAGAAGUUAAAUUCCCUUAAAAGGACAGUGGGUUGGGAAGGUAUGCUGAAGAAUGUGCACACCACAAGCUUCAGCUAUUGUACAACUAUGUAAUUUCAGGUUUUCCUUUGGCUUGAUGGGCCCAAAUCCAACAGUAGUGUCCAGGCAAAGGUGACUCAGGGGUACAAUGACUGGAAGGUGUCUGGACAUUCCAGGUGAGUCAUGAAAAGCACAAGUGCCUUAGCAGUUGUUUAUUUUAUGUAGUCUGAACUCUGUAUGGAGCACUUUUUGGAUAAAGUUUCCAAAGCCACUAUUUUCUCUGCAGUGGCUUGAGAAACACCUACAACUAAACAUUUGGUCUUCUAGAAGUCAGAAUCUAUCUCUAUGGGAAAUCUCAAGUACUCCCUAGCACAGACAGAGGUAGUUUGGGGAAAGUGUAUGUGGAGGCAAAACUGGGUUUCUGUGGAAGAGUUAACAACUGAUAAGAAUCUAAAAGAUCUGAAUCUAGAUGUAAAGAAAUCACAUAAAAGCAGGAUGUGCUCUCCCUUUACUGAGGAUAUAAUGUACAAAAAUACUAUAAUGAUUAGUAAGAGACAGUAACAAUCCUUGGGUGCAGAUAGAUAUGGAAUACAGUAACGUUAUAGGUCACUCCAGGACAGUCUCUGGUGAAGAUAAAUACUUAAAGGACUUUUUGUUUAGUCAUUUCCUACCUGCCAUUGCUUGAUAGAAUGUUUCUCCUUUCCUAACUAUCCUUUAAAUUUCACAUAAAGAGCAUGGGCUCUGUCAGUCACUUUAAUUUUCAGAGAACAAACAGAUCAUUGGACAGUAUUUCCUCCCCACAAAAAAAGCCAGAAUGCGCUUUUGGUUGCAAAGAUUGACAGAAAUUUAUGUCAGCUGUAUGAAAACCCACUACAACAGACU